rnacentral:rRNA from 1 species
GAUCAGUACAGGUGGUGCAUGGCUGUCGUCAGCUCGUGUCGUGAGAUGUUGGGUUAAGUCCCGCAACGAGCGCAACCCUUAUUCUUAGUUGUUUCCCUUUGGGAUUACCCUCUAAGAAGACUGCCUCGGGAUAACGGGGAGGAAGGUGGGGAUGACGUCAAGUCCGCAUGCUCCUUACGUCUAGGGCUACACACGUCCUACAAUGGGGUCGACAAUGGGAUGCAAUAUCGCAAGAUGGAGCCAAUCCCCAAACGGCCUCUCAGUUCGGAUUGUAGUCUGCAACUCGACUACAUGAAGUUGGAAUCGCUAGUAAUGGCAGAUCAGCAUGCUGCCGUGAAUACGUUCCCGGGUCUU